rnacentral:misc_RNA from 1 species
UCGCGGCUUAUCACCGGCAGUCCCCUUAGAGUGCCCAACUAAAUGAUGGCAACUAAGGGCGAGGGUUGCGCUCGUUGCGGGACUUAACCCAACAUCUCACGACACGAGCUGACGGCAGCCAUGCAGCACCUGUGUUCCGGUUCCCUUUCAGGCACACCCACCUUUCAGCAGGCUUCCAGACAUGUCAAGGGUAGGUAAGGUUGUUCGCGUUGCAUCGAAUUAAACCACAUGCUCCACCGCUUGUGCAGGCCCCCGUCAAUUCCUUUGAGUUUUAGCCUUGCGGCCGUACUCCCCAGGCGGGGCGCUUAAUGCGUUAGCUGCGGCACGGAUCCCGUGGAAGGGAACCCACACCUAGCGCCCAACGUUUACGGCGUGGACUAC